GAGGGAGACGGAAGAUGGAUGCCAACAUACAGGACUCGGCAUGGACUCUCUAAUUCAAAGGACAGUCUGUUCAUUUGCUGCCAAGAACAAAUGGCUCUGGCUGUAGUACCAUGAUGUAUACUGCCACAAACACUUACGCGCAUGGGAUUGUACCAGUAGUGAAUGGUAACACUGGUUUACUGAGUCUGGGUUCUCAUCGGAUUACUCUGCUCAUGAACCCAGAAGAAUUUUACAUUAGAUUUUACAUUUGGAAAUGAGAUUUUUCAUAAGAUCCACUUGCAUCAAUCAGCCUUCCAGAACCUGAACCUUCCCAAAGGUGAUGAACUAGAAUUCUACAACUAUGCUGAGAGAUGUAAUUUAAGCUAUCUGGAACAUAUAUAGAUGUUACAUAUCCGCAGAAUUCCAGUUUUGGAGAGCCGUGGAAUCUCUGCAAAGGGUACUCUACUUUUAACUACACUGGACAUUUGUAAGUAAGACAGGG